CUCAUGAACGAAGGAAACUGCAGAUUUUUAGAGGAACGUUUCCGCCUGGAAAGUCUUUGAAGUUCGAGAGGCGCUGAGGUAAGAACGCACGCCAUGUAACAGGAAAUGAUGCGACCGGAGCGAUAACACAAGCGCAGUUGUGGUACUUUAGAUGCAGUUUAUUGGAGGUAAAUAAAAACCUGCACAGAGAAAUGUCCCUGCAGAGUUAAGUUUCUCUGAGUUGAACUUUGACAGUUCUUGAGUUUGCAGAAAGAGUCCGUGUUUCUGUGACUCAGCCGUCAGCAGACAGACAGGCAGGAGGACGGGUAAUGAGGCCGCGCGGCGCUGCUGCUGUCAGUCAGGGAGGAGGCUGAGCUCAUUACAGACUCACAAUGAAACCUGAAUAUCCUGUUUUCUGCUGCAGAACCAUCCGAGCCAAAACCAGAAUCUGGUGGGAGCAGCACAGACUGAACCAGCUAACAGACGUCCACGGACACUCCGGACCAGAUCUGUUUCAACUCAAAUACACACAUUUAGGUCACAUGACACUGACCAGUGAAGUCAUGGAGAGAAGAUGCAUUAACCCUCGGUUCCUCCUCUGUCCGUUUUGAGGACAUUUGUCAUUGUUUUCCUCUUUAUUUUGAGCUGACAGUCGCAGUUUUAAAGAUUAGGUCAUCAAAUUUGAUGUAAGUUCUUAUUUUUCUCUUAUAUUAAAAAACAAAAAAAAACUCGGUGUCACCUGUAGAUCUCUGUCGCCACAUUUUAGCUCCGCCCACCCUCCUUUGUCCACAAAUCGGCCAAUAGACUUCCGUUAAAAACAGGUUUUUUGAUUCAUCCACUAAACAUCAUCAGAAUUGAAUGAAACUUUACAAACCAGUUACUUUUUUAAUGAUCAGAGCUGAAGUUGUUUAAGAGAUUUGAGUCAAAAAAAUGAUUAUCUUAUGAACGCUAAACUGCAUGUCUGUUUUGGGGACAAAGUUGGCUGGAUGGAGCUUCAAAUACAAAAAAUUGAAACUACAAAAAGGAUUUAAAUUCACCAAAAUUGGUUUUAUGUUUCAUCAUUGACAUGGCCCAGACGCUAUCAAAAAGAAAAUUCGAUCUUGGUCAUUUAAAUGGUAAAUAAGGUGAUUUUGUGUUUUUUUACCAUUAAAAAUAGCAGUGACCUGGUGCACAAAAACUGACAUAAAAAGGAAAAUACAUCAAAUUUUUGAUUCAUUAUUUUUUUAAUGGUUCGAGGUGAAGUUGCUGAAAAGAUGUGAGUCAAAAAAUGAAAAAAAUGAUAAUAAAUGAUUAUUUUAUGAACACUUAUCUGCAUGUCUGUCUUGGGGACAAUGUAGGCUUUGUUAGUUUUAACCUGAGGGUUAAAACUAACUAGAAGGAGAUCCAGGGGGAGAUCUAGAGCUCCAUGGAUGGAUCCUGUCUGCUCUGGAAACACCUCAGGAGCCUACAUGAGGAGCUGGUAAACACUGCGGGGGAAACGAGGUCUCAGACUGCUGACCCUGAGGUUCAGAGAGUCCGUCAGUGAGACCCUGAUGGAGUUAGAAAUACAGAGACCGAAGUUGGAGGAGCAGACAGAGACUGAGAGCGUUUUAAGACAGAAGAAUUACUGGAUGCAGGACGUGGUUCAGGUUCUUUGUGACAGUCUGGGCGGCUCCUGUUGGCGAGAAAGAUCUUGUGAUAGACGCGGGUUUUCAGUCCCUGAAGGAGGCCGACCAGCAGGGCGCACAAUGGCGAGGAGGCCCCGAACGACCCCAUUAACCAGGGUGAGGCACUUCCCUCCAACUUUUCCUCUCACAGGUUUUCUCUCCAUCCGUCUCUUUCUUCAUCGGCCCGCUGACAGAUUGAAAGCCUUUUGGAAUAAUAGGGUCGCUCCUGGUUUGUGGCGGCAGCUGUGACGGACAGGAGGGUGCGUUCAGCGGUGCCGCCUCAACGCAGGAAGUUCACAUUGUGUUUCAGAAGAAUGGCAGCGGCGUUUAGAUGGCCAUCGUGGCUCAGAGCCGGUCUUUAAGCCCCUCUGUGAAGAUGGUGAUAAGAAGAAUGAAUGCUGUUUGUCCGACUCAGAAACAAUACGUGAGGAGAUCUGGACCUGGUCUGCAGGUUUGGGGUCGACACAGAGGAACGACGAGUCGACAAAAGUCAGAAACAGAUAAAUAAAUAAAUAGAUCAAUAAAAGAGCAAAUGUAUGUCUUUUAAACACAAGUAAUAAUCCUGUUGAAUAUUUAAGAUUUCAGGUCAGGGAGGGUCAGAUCCUUUUCUGUAAAGGUCAACCUUUUGAGGUCAUAGCAUACAGACAAAGCUGUGUAAAAAGUAACACCCACCUGUGUUUCAGACAGAGGCCAAACAGAUCUGAUGUUUCAGGAUGUUUUCCCCCUCCUGUGUGAUCCGGUUCUGCAGUCUGAGCCGCUGUGCUGUGGGUCCGGUUCAUCUUAAACCAUUAGCAGGUCAUGUUAGCUUGUUUGGGUGUCCUGUUUCUCUUUCUAAAGUCUAAUAUCCGCUCUGUUCCUCCCGGCUCUGUUAGUUUUACCCCUCCUUAAACAUCUGCUGCUGUGGAGGACAGUGGUACGGUGUCUCUGGUCUGAGAGGUAUUUCCUGAUGAUGUUAUUUUACAGCAUUUUUUAAAGACACUGGAUAUCCUCUCUCUUCAUUUCAUUUCAGAACUUUCAAGGCUGCUGGAGGUCUGCAGACGACGCACACAUCCAAACAGAGUCUGAAGGUUCCUGUAAGAAGAAGCCCAGAUGUUUCUGUGGACUUGUUGAACUUUUCAUGCAGUCUUAAGAUUCUCUGUGGUGUCCUGAGAAAAGCUAAGAAACCGGAGAAGAACUUUCUGGAGGCUGCAGAUCUGAUGCAUAAUGUAGAGCAGAUGGAUCUUUAAAACAUGAGGCGGUUCUGAAACUCCCUGUGGUUUCUGUAGGUGAUGGGGUCACACUGUGCAUGUAUACGGUCCUGUAUACUGUCAGUGAGAGGACUCUGCUGGUUCUUUGUGUUUGGGUGACUCUUAUAUGAGAUCUGUUCAGAGUUAGUGACGCUUUAAUCUGCAACAGGAAGCAGCUGAAGAGAGUCUGCGAGUGAUUAUGAGUGCAGAGUCAAAAAUGGGGCCAAAGCAAUUUAACCGAGGAGGCAAAAAAAUCACAAUUCCUUCUUUGGAG